GACGAACGCUGGCGGCGUGCUUAACACAUGCAAGUCGAACGGAAAGGCCCUGCUUUUGUGGGGUGCUCGAGUGGCGAACGGGUGAGUAACACGUGAGUAACCUGCCCUUGACUUUGGGAUAACUUCAGGAAACUGGGGCUAAUACCGGAUAGGAGCUCCUGCUGCAUGGUGGGGGUUGGAAAGUUUCGGCGGUUGGGGAUGGACUCGCGGCUUAUCAGCUUGUUGGUGGGGUAGUGGCUUACCAAGGCUUUGACGGGUAGCCGGCCUGAGAGAGUGACCGGCCACAUUGGGACUGAGAUACGGCCCAGACUCCUACGGGAGGCAGCAGUGGGGAAUAUUGCACAAUGGGCGGAAGCCUGAUGCAGCAACGCCGCGUGCGGGAUGACGGCCUUCGGGUUGUAAACCGCUUUCGCCUGUGACGAAGCGUGAGUGACGGUAAUGGGUAAAGAAGCACCGGCUAACUACGUGCCAGCAGCCGCGGUGAUACGUAGGGUGCGAGCGUUGUCCGGAUUUAUUGGGCGUAAAGGGCUCGUAGGUGGUUGAUCGCGUCGGAAGUGUAAUCUUGGGGCUUAACCCUGAGCGUGCUUUCGAUACGGGUUGACUUGAGGAAGGUAGGGGAGAAUGGAAUUCCUGGUGGAGCGGUGGAAUGCGCAGAUAUCAGGAGGAACACCAGUGGCGAAGGCGGUUCUCUGGGCCUUUCCUGACGCUGAGGAGCGAAAGCGUGGGGAGCGAACAGGCUUAGAUACCCUGGUAGUCCACGCUGUAAACGGUGGGUACUAGGUGUGGGGUCCAUUCCACGGGUUCCGUGCCGUAGCUAACGCUUUAAGUACCCCGCCUGGGGAGUACGGCCGCAAGGCUAAAACUCAAAGGAAUUGACGGGGCCCCGCACAAGCGGCGGAGCAUGCGGAUUAAUUCGAUGCAACGCGUAGAACCUUACCUGGGUUUGACAUGGAUCGGGAGUGCUCAGAGAUGGGUGUGCCUCUUUUGGGGUCGGUUCACAGGUGGUGCAUGGCUGUCGUCAGCUCGUGUCGUGAGAUGUUGGGUUAAGUCCCGCAACGAGCGCAACCCUUGUUCACUGUUGCCAGCACGUUAUGGUGGGGACUCAGUGGAGACCGCCGGGGUCAACUCGGAGGAAGGUGGGGAUGACGUCAAGUCAUCAUGCCCCUUAUGUCCAGGGCUUCACGCAUGCUACAAUGGCUGGUACAGAGAGUGGCGAGCCUGUGAGGGUGAGCGAAUCUCGGAAAGCCGGUCUCAGUUCGGAUUGGGGUCUGCAACUCGACCUCAUGAAGUCGGAGUCGCUAGUAAUCGCAGAUCAGCAACGCUGCGGUGAAUACGUUCCCGGGGCU
rnacentral:rRNA from 1 species